UACUAGAGUAGCACUCGCAUAUCAAUAAGCGGAGGAAAAGAAACUAACAAGGAUUCCCCUAGUAACGGCGAGUGAAGCAGGGAAGAGCUCAAAUUUGAAAUCUUAAAGGGUUUCCCUUUACGAAUUGUAGUUUAGAGAAGUGUUUUCUGUUGAGGUUUUGGUAAAAGUUCUUUGGAAUAGGACAUCAUAGAGGGUGAGAAUCCCGUAUUUGACCUUUACUUUCAACUUUGUGAUACACUUUCAAAGAGUCGGAUUGUUUGGGAAUGCAGUCCAAAAUGGGUGGUAAAUUUCAUCUAAAGCUAAAUAUUGGCGAGAGGACCGAUAGCGAACAAGUACCGUGAGGGAAAGAUGAAAAGAACUUUGAAAAGAGAGUUAAACAGUACGUGAAAUUGUCAAAAGGGAAGCGUUUGACACCAGUGUUGUUUUUCUGAAAAUCAAUUAAAGAACUGUUUAUGCUAAGUUGUUUAGACUUUAUCAGCUAACUGUUUAGUUUUGAGCUUUUCUUUAAUGCACUUUUCAGUUAACAAGUCAACAUCAAUUUCUUUUGCUGUAAAAAAGCUUGAGGAAGGUGGCUUGAGAUUCGUCUUAAGUGUUUAUAGCCUCUUGCCUAUGCAGUCGGAGAGAUUGAGGUCUGCAGCGUAGAUCCUUCGGGGCUAAAUGCAUUUGUGCUAAGUUAUAGCAUUUUAUAGACAACUUGUUGACUAUGAUUUGUCUUGUAGCUUACUCGCUUAUGUUAUUUUACCUACGCUUAGGAUGUUGAGUAGCGACAUACGCAC
rnacentral:rRNA from 1 species